rnacentral:miRNA from 1 species
UCAAGUCACUAGUGGUUCCGUUUAG